UUUUUUUUUUUCUUUUUGCUAUUCAAAUUCUAGGUGAAAAUAGUUAAAUUGUUGGCUUUCCCCAGCCUGUGUCUACAUGAGAGUGAGACUGUUUUGACAAGAAAUUAAUGGGAACAGAUACUUGGCAUACACUCUCUCCUUGUUACCAGAUCUAGUCAUAUCAGGAUAAUGCUUGAUCUAAAUGCUUGCUUCAAAGCAGUUGGUUUUGCCAGAAUGGAGAAAUUUCUAGUGGAAAUAUUUAGAGACAAAUCAGAUCAACUCCAGGGACUCAAUUAUGUCACUCUUAUAUUUGUGAUUCAACCCAAGACAUUCAUCCAUGUGUCCAUUUCUAUACUUCUAUGAUUCAUCUCAGUCUUUGAGCUAAGUUGAUCUUGUGGCAAUUUGCACUGGUUGUUAAGAUAGCUAGAAGAAUCAAAUUAGCCAUUCUUGAGUCUGUAUUAUUUAGAGUUCAUUCAAAGUCUCUACUCACUGAUGUUUGUCCUCGGUCACUGAGCUAGUUACCGAUGAGUACCCUUUCUCAGUAGCAGAAACCUCCAGCGUACCUGAAAGGUCAGUCUAUGUUCCCGUCAUUCAUGCAGUGCUUCUUAAACUGGGGAUAUGUUUUCCAAGGGGUACAAAAGAGGUAUAUGAAGUUAUAAGAGUAUCAAUUUUACUAGUUGAUAAGCAAUAUAAAACAUCAUUUCUUUUAUAUUGAAACAUAAUGGAGUAAAAUGCAGCAUUUAUAUGGAUUUUUAAUGUAAAAAUAAGACUUCAAAAGAACUCUGUGCUUGGUAUAUUUGUAGACCAUUUCAGGCAUACACACGUUCAUUCUCUGCGUCAGGUGCAGUUCAUUGAAAGGAUUUAGGAAGUGCUGCAGGAGUGCAUUCUGGGAGCCCUCAGUUCCCAAACCGCCUCCCUGUGAAACAACAAAGUCAGUUGUUUUUUUGUUUUUCAUUUUUUCGUUUUUUUUUUGUUUGUUUUUAAGGAGCAUUUUAUUUUUUUCCUAACUGAAGACUUUUGGCCGGAGGGGCUAAGAAGAAUUGAAGGUUGAGCUUCCCAUAAGAUGUUCUUGAAAACUCUUUGAAACUUAAAAAAUAUUAAAAGGAAAAACGUUUUUAAGGAAAAUGCUUCCAGGUUGGAAUGUCUAGGAUUCCUUCUCUAGGCAAGAUUUCUAACAUUAAGCAUUCUGGAGCAGGAUCUUAGUAGAAAGCCUAAUGGACACAUGAAAGUGGGCAUUAGUGAACAAUCAGGGCAAGAAGACAAAUCCACCUAUGCAGACAGAUCAAUAAAAAAAUUGAGAUUCAACAAUACAGAGACAUUAGAAAAAUAACUGUUUCAUGAGACUAUGUAAAGAAAAUGAUUUUCAUAACUUAUUUGCUAUUCAUCUAACAGAAGACAUACCUGUUGGACUUGAAAAACUACAUGUAGAAAAUUUGAACACUCUAGAUUUACAAAAACAGAUCGACAUUUCAUUAUAGACAUUGAAAUAAGUAGGAGUACUGUAAAUAUCAAUAGUUAAUGACCAUAAACCCUUAAACAUUAUGUCUUGAGACAAACAUGAAAAUCAUUAAGAAAUUAUAAGCACAGUGAAAAAGAAACACUUAAAACUGCUUUUAGCCGUAGGGAUGCUUGGAUUUCAACUAAGAUCAAAACAUGUUUUCUUACCUGAGAUAUAAUGACCAGAUUCUGUUAAUAAAUGUUAUUCCCAAAGCCUUAAAUUCUAAACAUUUGGGUUGUCUUUUUCCAAUGUUCUUACUGUAAUUUUAAAAAUAGAAUAAGAUUUAGAAUUUUUUUCUUUAAACAAAAGUUGUGCUUUAAAUUUGGUCCAGAAUUUUCCCAAAUCUUUCCUGAACUACACACACACACACACACACACACACGCACACGCAUGCACACACACACAAGCAAUGCAUUAUGCUGAGGCAAAACUUGGACAUUCCUGAGAGACCAAGGAAUCAUAUUAAUUUGAAGUCUUUAGGGAGCUUAGAAAUAUUUUUGUCUUGGGUUUAUUGGGGUAAAACUGAGACUACGAGGUUUUCAAGACUUGUCCAGAAUCACACAUCUAGUAGUUGUGGAUCUGGAAGCAGAGCCUUCAUUUCCCAUGAAGCAAAAUGGAUUCAUAUGACCUGGGUUCUUAGCACAGACUCACCAACAGCAUAACUGCCAACAAGUGUCUUAACUCCUCUGGAUUUCAGUGUUUUCAGUAGAAAGUGUUGGAAGUGACUUUCAACAAGGAUAGUCUUGAUGAUGCUUGGGGACAUUGGAAAGGUGAACGGGUGUUUCUAGCUGCUGCAGUUACUGGCAGGUGCCCACUGGGGUCUGUAACACUCCUCGUGCCACAGUGUUCUCUCCCCUCACUGGGAAAUACUGGACUCCUUUUAUGGUAGCUCAUUUCUGAACCCAACUAACUAUGAGAGGGACAGCAGUCUCACUUAAUAAAAAGUUUUGCUUUUAGUUUGUCAAAAGUCACUUUUUGGAAUUCCCAUUUUGGCAUAUCUGCAUUCUAUCUUUAGUUCUUUAGAUAGAGAAGUUCAUGUCGGCUAUAAGUGGAGAAUACCGUCCUUUUUUGAUGGCCAACAUACAACUAAAAAAAGACACAAAACCCCAAAACAAACCCAAUUUCCAAAUGUGGAGUGGCAUUAAAAAAAAAAAAAAGUUGAGUUGUAUGAGAACCUUUGACAUAUUUUCAGGUUUUUUAGGCUGUGGCAAAAUUUGGAUUGGCAAAAUUUCAAGUUUAAAUUCGAAAUUUGUUGAUAAUCUGGUCAUUAAAUCUUGCCUGUUUUCAUGAUUUAUAAAUAAAGCACAAAUGCCAGAACUAAGCAGAAGCACAAAAGAAAAAUGCACCCUAUGAAUUAUAUCACAAUAAAAAUACUGUAUUCCUUUAAACAAAUGUACUUUUAAGAGCUUUAUAACCCAAAGCAAGAUAUGUGAGAUGGUUUAAGAAGAGGUUGCAAUUUUGCAACAAGAAGUCUGUACAGCUCCUCCAGGCAGUAGCUGAGAAGGAAGUACCUGUGUCUCAGAAACUUGUUUCCAGAGGUUCUUGACAAUUUUGCAUCCCGGGUCCCAUUAUUUACAAAGGUACACAUUUUGCCAGCUCAAAGCACCUUGGUCCUCAUAAUUAUGAAUGCAUGCAAUGACAUUUCAUCCUUUCAUGUGCAAAUUCUAAAAUUCAUUGUAACAGAAAAGGUAAAAGUCGAAAAUCUGUCUACAAUGUGGAAUGAAAGGACCAAAAAUGUCAGACAUUGCAGAAUACUGGUUCCUAAUAGAGCUCUCUUUAUUUGUUCACUGUUCCUCAGUCAUUUUUGUUUGUUUGUUACAAAAUGCAGUCUUGACUCUUUAUUUAAACAGUACUUAAACUAAACUGUUCAUGCCAUGCAAAAAUAACAUUUUAUGCACUUUUUUUGGGGGGGGCAGGGGCUUCCCAUGGUUUUAGUUCACAGGCAUUAUUACCCGGUUUUUUAAGAAACAAGUGUUUUAUUAUUAUGAUUAUUAUUGCUUU
rnacentral:lncRNA from 1 species